UAGGGAAUCUUCCGCAAUGGACGCAAGUCUGACGGAGCAACGCCGCGUGAGUGAGGAAGGCCUUCGGGUCGUAAAGCUCUGUUGCCAGGGAAGAAUGUCGAGGAGAGUAACUGCUCUUCGAAUGACGGUACCUGAGAAGAAAGCCCCGGCUAACUACGUGCCAGCAGCCGCGGUAAUACGUAGGGGGAAAGCGUUGUCCGGAAUUAUUGGGCGUAAAGCGCGCGCAGGCGGCUUUGUAAGUCUGGUGUUUAAACCUGGGGCUCAACCUCGGGUCGCAUUGGAAACUGCAAGGCUUGAGUGCAGAAGAGGAAAGUGGAAUUCCACGUGUAGCGGUGAAAUGCGUAGAGAUGUGGAGGAACACCAGUGGCGAAGGCGACUUUCUGGGCUGUAACUGACGCUGAGGCGCGAAAGCGUGGGGAGCAAACAGG
rnacentral:rRNA from 1 species